UCAGUGAGGCUAGUGAUGGUACUGUCCCUGUUUAGUGAGGCUAGUUAUGUUAUUAUUGUUUGACAGUACAUGAGAUUCACCUCAUUGGCUAAUCACUAAUAUGUCCCCAUACAGACCAAGUAUGACUUCACUUCCUGUCACGGAGUGCUGUUGGUCUGUCUGAUUGUCCUGUUCCUCUUCGGCUUCCUCUGCAUCUUCAUCCGCAACAAGAUCCUGGAACUGGUCUAUGCCUCGCUGGGCGCUCUACUCUUCACAUGCUUCUUGGCUGUGGACACUCAGCUGCUGCUUGGCAACAAGGAGAAUGCCCUGAGUCCAGAGGACUAUGUUUUUGCUGCUCUCUCCCUGUACACUGACAUCAUCAACAUCUUCCUCUACAUCCUGGCUAUCGUUGGAAGAGCACGGAACUGAGAGCUUCCUCUAAAGGAACCAUUGAAGGAUGAAGGAGUGUUUUUACAGGAGUUACCAAUCUGUUCCCAUAUCUAGUACAACACCUGCCACACAUCGUGUUAUGUGUCUAUGUCUCAGGUGAACACUGCUGUCACCUGUCCUUCUAAACGUGGUUCCCUUUGUGCUUUUAGAGCAGUGGUUCCCUCUGUGCUUUUAGAGCAGUGGUUCCCUUUGUGCUUUUAGAGCAGUGGUUCCCUUUGUGCUUUUAGAGCAGUGGUUCCCUUUGUGCUUUUAGAGCAGUGGUUCCCUCUGUGCUUUUAGAGCAGUGGUUCCCUCUGUGCUUUUAGAGCAGUGGUUCCCUCUGUGCUUUUAGAGCAGUGGUUCCCUCUGUGCUUUUAGAGCAGUGGUUCCCUUUGUGCUUUUAGAGCAGUGGUUCCCUCUGUGCUUUUAGAGCAGUGGUUCCCUCUGUGCUUUUAGAGCAGUGGUUCCCUCUGUGCUUUUAGAGCAGUGGUUCCCUCUGUGCUUUUAGAGCAGUGGUUCCCUCUGUGCUUUUAGAGCAGUGGUUCCCUCUGUGCUUUUAGAGCAGUGGUUCCCUCUGUGCUUUUAGAGCAGUGGUUCCCUCUGUGCUUUUAGAGCAGUGGUUCCCUCUGUGCUUUUAGAGCAGUGGUUCCCUCUGUGCUUUUAGAGCAGUGGUUCCCUCUGUGCUUUUAGAGCAGUGGUUCCCUCUGUGCUUUUAGAGCAGUGGUUCCCUCUGUGCUUUUAGAGCAGUGGUUCCCUCUGUGCUUUUAGAGCAGUGGUUCCCUCUGUGCUUUUAGAGCAGUGCCCCCCUAGCGAACUCAGUCCGGCGUUGAACUUAGUUGUAAUAGUAGAAUGCACAAGGUGACAUUUCUAAAUUGGGUGGUGCAUCAUCAGUUCCUCUUGUCAGUCAUUACGUACCAUGUUUGGGUAACCCUGAUCUAGCAGAUGCUCUUAUCCAGAGCAAUGUAUUUUUCUAUUGUGUUACUGUUUUUCUUUGCUCAUUUUUCGUACUUUUUAAACAACCACAUAUCACAGUCAUAGCAAGUAACUCUGCUCUAUAGUACUCCCUCAUGUUCAUUGUGCUCAUUUUUACCACAAUCCAGACUGGUUUAAAUUGUGUAGUGUGAAUAAUUCAUAAUAUUUUAAUUCAAUUUGUUUUGUGAUAUUUCUGAUGUUUGUGAGUCUUUGCAGCUGUAUUUGUUGAUAUUUAUUCAAUUAAAACUGAAUUGUGAUCUCUU